rnacentral:rRNA from 1 species
UGGGGAAUAUUGCGCAAUGGGGGAAACCCUGACGCAGCGACGCCGCGUGCGGGAUGAAGGCCUUCGGGUUGUAAACCGCUUUUGAUUGGGAGCACGCCUUUUGGGUGAGUGUACCUUUCGAAUAAGCGCCGGCUAACUACGUGCCAGCAGCCGCGGGAAUACGUAGGGCGCAAGCGUUAUCCGGGAUUAUUGGGCGUAAAGAGCUUGUAGGCGGUUCGUCGCGUCUGGUGUGAAAGCCCAUCGCUUAACGGUGGGUUUGCGCCGGGUACGGGCGGGCUAGAGUGCAGUAGGGGAGACUGGAAUUCCCGGUGUAACGGUGGAAUGUGUAGAUAUCGGGAAGAACACCAAUGGCGAAGGCAGGUCUCUGGGCUGUUACUGACGCUGAGAAGCGAAAGCGUGGGGAGCAAACAGG